CGCCAGCUGCCAUCCAGCGCCACCAGGAAAGCCGCCCAGGCGCCCCGCCUCUGCAUCCGCCCGCCAGGAGCAGCGCCCCUGCAACCCGCGCUGAAGACUCGACGCCCAGAGCCGCGUGCAACCCCGUUCGCCGCCCCGCCCUCCGUAUCCCGUCGCCUCGCCCCUGCGCUCCGUCAGCUGCCCCUCUCCGGUGAGCUCUCAGCCGCCCCUCAAUUUGUUUCUUGGGCCUGCUUCAUUUUAGUCAGUUUAGAACAGCUUCAUCAGGGGCUAACAAGGUGCAGGCUGCAGAGCAAUCUUGCAAGAAACAGACAUUUUCUUUGUCAUCUCAAUAUUUUCAAAACUGGCGUUCAAUAAAUUGGGGAAUGUCUCUUUGCAGACAUAUAUUUUCACAGACACUCUCUCAGUUAUCCAAAUAUUGUCAGGUUUGUUGGCCCGAAUGGCUAGUUCUUUGUUUUUGCAUUGUUUAAUGCUGAAUUCCUAUUAUCCUGCAGUCAGUUUAGAUGGUCGGUCAGCCACCAGGGCCUCCCCGUCCGGCCGUCGUGCGUCCAACAGUCGGGCACCGGCGGGCAGCGGCCGCUCGCCCCUGCGGCUUGGGCGCUCGGCCACAGCCAGUGCGGGCCGUGCGGCAGUGUCCACUCGGGCCUCGGCCAGCUGCUAGCUAAUCCUAAUCAGUAAUUACUGUAAGCGUUUCUCAUUUUCUCAGUUUUUUUUGUCACUACUCACUGGUGAACAGCCUUUAGUGCCCAAGAACAGCCUUCAGUGCCCAAGCUCGUGUUGGAAACCAGCUGCGGCAUGAUGCUUUGGUGAUUUGGUUGCUUAAUAAUUAACUCAGUUCAUUGGAUAAUUUAUUGGUUUGUCUCUCCAUGUUCAGUUUGCACUUUGUGGACAAGAAGUUGUGAAUGCCUUCAGUGCUGCAGUGUUGGGCCUAUCUUCAGGUUGUGUUUCUUCUCAAGUCAACCAAGAGCAGCCUCAUGAUGGUUCCCCUCCUCUGAGAGAAGAUGACAAGAAUGGGCAUUAUGUUUUUGCUGUUGGAGAUAAUCUCACAUCUCGUUAUAAGAUCAAUGCAAAAAUGGGAGAAGUCUACAGGAAUCAGUGGUCUUCUCCGCUACGCUCCUGAAAUAUUUGAGCAGUCUGGAGUGGCUAGUUUGUUUUCAGACAUUGGACUUUCUCCUCAUUCAACAUCAAUUCUCAUGAGUACCCUUAAUGCUUUGCUGAUACUCCCUUGUAUAACUGCCGCAAUGCUGUUGAUGGAUGUCUGCGGGAGAAGGUAGAAUCUGAGACACCAUGAAAAUUAGUGAUGCAGUUGUGGACUUUUGAACAAUAGCUAGAGUGAUAUGAAACAUUAGUGAUGUAGUUGUGGGCUUUUGAACUGCUUCAAGCUGGAGUGAUGUCGCUGUGGUGC